AUACGUAGGGAGCGAGCGUUGUCCGGAAUUACUGGGCGUAAAGGGCGCGUAGGCGGCGCUUCAAGUCGUCUGUCACAUGGGAGGGCUUAACCCUUUUUCGCAGCCGAAACUGUCGAGCUUGAGAAGCAGAGCGGCAAACAGAAUUCCUGGUGUAGCGGUGAAAUGCGUAGAUAUCAGGAAGAAUACCAGUGGCGAAGGCGGUUUGCUGGCUGCAUACUGACGCUGAAGCGCGAAAGCCAGGGGAGCGAACGGGAUUAGAUACCCCGGUAGUCCUGGCAGUAAACGAUGUAUGCUGGGUGUGAGACUAGCGAUAGUUUCGUGCCGAAGUUAACGCGAUAAGCAUACCGCCUGGGGAGUACGGUCGCAAGAUUGAAACUUAAAGGAAUUGACGGGG
rnacentral:rRNA from 1 species